rnacentral:rRNA from 1 species
GUGCCAGCAGCCGCGGUAAUACGUAGGGUGCGAGCGUUAAUCGGAAUUACUGGGCGUAAAGCGUGCGCAGGCGGUUAUAUAAGACAGUUGCGAAAUCCCCGGGCUUAACCUGGGAAUGGCGCUUGUGACUGCACGACUGGAGUGCGGCAGAGGGGGAUGGAAUUCCGCGUGUAGCAGUGAAAUGCGUAGAUAUGCGGAGGAACACCGAUGGCGAAGGCAGUCCCCUGGGCCUGCACUGACGCUCAUGCACGAAAGCGUGGGGAGCAAAC